rnacentral:rRNA from 1 species
UACGGAGGGUGCAAGCGUUAUCCGGAUUCACUGGGUUUAAAGGGUGCGUAGGUGGGCAGGUAAGUCAGUGGUGAAAUCUCCGGGCUUAACCCGGAAGCUGCCGUUGAUACUAUCUGUCUUGAAUAUAGUGGAGGUGAGCGGAAUAUGUCAUGUAGCGGUGAAAUGCUUAGAUAUGACAUAGAACAUCGAUUGCGAAGGCAGCUCGCUACGCUAUUAUUGACACUGAGGCACGAAAGCGUGGGGAUCAAACAGG